rnacentral:lncRNA from 1 species
GUGCUCUGCAAAGACAGGAGAUGGUCUUGUUACAAAGCAGAAAAGGAUUUAGAAGAUGCAAGCAUACCUGAUGAGCAAGAAAGAAGUGCUGGACAAGAGAAUUUGAACCUCAGAAUAAAAGAGCUGGAGAAAUUGGAGCAAACAUUGAAAUGCACUUUAGAGGACUACAUCGAGUCAGAUUCUGUGCUAAGAAAUAGGAUGAAAGACCUGGAGCUGUCACACAAAACACUUCUGGUAAUGAUUGAUCAACUAAACAUGAAAGUGCACCAUUUUGAAAAUGCAAAUAUGCGUGUUAAAGGGAAACUGAGAGAAGUUUGGGAGGAGCUGCAGAGCUUGGUAAGGAGGAUAUUGUUUCAAAUGACCUAGUUUAAGUUCUCUUUAAGGCAGUAGUUUAUAAGUCAAUCUCCUCUCCAGUGACCUGUCUGUUUUUAUGCAAUAUAUCAUCUCAGGCUUUUUUUUUCUUUUUUUUUUUUAAACCAGAGGAAUCAGAAGAACUAUUUCUCUCUGUGC